UACGAAGGGGGCUAGCGUUGUUCGAAUAUCUGGGCGUAAAGCGCACGUAGGCGGAUCGAUCAGUCAGGGGUGAAAUCCCAGGGCUCAACCCUGGAACUGCCUUUGAUACUGUCGAUCUGGAGUAUGGAAGAGGUGAGUGGAAUUCCGAGUGUAGAGGUGAAAUUCGUAGAUAUUCGGGAGGAACACCAGUGGCGAAGGCGGCUCACUGGUCCAUUACUGACGCUGAGGUGCGAAAGCGUGGGGAGCAAACAGG
rnacentral:rRNA from 1 species